UACGGAAGGGGCAAGCGUUGUUCGGAAUUAUUGGGCGUAAAGGGCGUGUAGGCGGCUUCGCAGGUCUGUGGUGAAAGGAUACAGCUCAACUGUAUUGAGCCACGGAAACGGCGUAGCUUGAGGCUGGGAGGGGCUGGUGGAAUUCCCUGUGUAGCGGUGAAAUGCGUAGAGAUGGGGGAGAACACUCGUGGCGAAGGCGGCCAGCUGGACCAGUACUGACGCUGAGACGCGAAAGCGUGGGGAGCAAACAGG
rnacentral:rRNA from 1 species